rnacentral:hammerhead_ribozyme from 1 species
GUUCAUCUGACGAGUCCCAAAUAGGACGAAACGCGCGUCCUGGAU